CAGCCCUAAACGAUGCGCGUUAGGUGUAUCGGUGACCACGAGUCACCGAGGUGCCGAAGGGAAACCGUGAAACGUGCCGCCUGGGAAGUACGGUCGCAAGGCUGAAACUUAAAGGAAUUGGCGGGGGAGCACCACAACGGGUGGAGCUUGCGGUUUAAUUGGAUUCAACGCCGGAAAUCUUACCGGGACCGACAGCAACAUGAAGGCCAAGCUGAAGACUUUGCCGGAUUAGCUGAGAGGAGGUGCAUGGCGUAGUCGUGU
rnacentral:rRNA from 1 species